rnacentral:rRNA from 1 species
AUGAAGGAGCUCAGGACCUCCGUCGUCCCCGGCAUGACGCACUGGGCUAGCCCAAACUUCUUCGCCUUCUUCCCUUCCACGAACAGCGCCGCUGCCAUCGCCGGCGACCUCAUCGCCUCUGCCAUGAACACCGUCGGAUUCACGUGGCAGGCCUCGCCUACAGCCACCGAGAUGGAGGUUCCCGCUCUCGACUGGCUUGCGCAGCUUCUGCGCCUACCCACUACCUUCAUGAACUACACCAGCAAUGGUCGUGGCACUGGCGGUGGCGUCAUCCUUGGCACAACGAGUGAGGCAAUGCUUGUUACGCUAGUCGCCGCUCGUGAUGCAGCGCUGCGCCGAACCGGCUCCGUCGGCGUGUCCGACAUCCCACGCUUGACUGUGUAUGCUGAUGAAGCUAUGUACCUAGGGUAG